rnacentral:lncRNA from 12 species
CGGGGCCGGGCCGGGCUGAGGGUUGCGGGGUCCUAGCGCCCCGCGCUGCGAUGGGCGGGGCAGGUGGGCGGGGCUGAGCCGCGCUGGCCCGUGACGCAAGCAGUGGCUGGGGAAAUGCGCGCUGGUUCCCCCUGCGGUCGGGAGAUCCCGAGGCUUGAGGCGGGCGUGGCCGCGGGAGUCCUGACAGUGCCUAGCCCGAGCACCGCGCGUCUGUCUGGGCGGCUGCUCCUACACCGAGGGCGCUCAGACCUCCCCAGGAAACCCCCUGACGGCUUAGCAACCACCUAGUAGGUUUCGGUCCCAAGAUACCGAGGGUCAGUUUUAGAAGACUGUAUGUUUUAAGCAGAGGUGGCUGGGAAGAUGGCGGAAUAGGAGAACCCUGGGCUCACUUCGUGCGGCAUGGCCACCUAGAGAACACCCACAUCAGCAUAAAUAACCCAGAAGCCACCCAAAGCCUGGCAGAACAGACUCUCCACAGCCGGACAUAGACAAGAGGCCACAGCAAAGUGGAUCUACCCCAUCUGAUAUACUCUUGGCAAGAUCCCAUCAAAGCAGUGCCACAAGCCUGGCAGUGUGCAAGCAGCCCAGACAAGGGCCAACACACCCCAAAGUGAAUCCUACUCCAGGGAGAGGGGGUGAUAAUCACACACCAGUCUGAUUGCCACCCCAGCAGUGGCUGGGGGCAGGCAACUGGUCUGAUUGCAUGCCUCACCCACCAAUAAAAGCUUCUCAGAAGACA